rnacentral:tRNA from 1 species
GGGGCGGUAGCUCAGCUGGGAGAGCACUACACUGGCAGUGUAGGGGUCAGGGGUUCGAUCCCCCUUCGCUCCA